rnacentral:rRNA from 1 species
CGCAUCUGUGCAUGCAGCAUAUCAAUAAGCGGAGGAAAAGAAACUAACAAGGAUUCCCUUAGUAACGGCGAGUGAAGCGGGAAGAGCUCGAAUUUGAAAUCUUCAAGGUUUUACCUUGACGAAUUGUAGUUUAAAGAAGUGUUUUCUGUUGAAGUUUUGGUAAAAGUUCUUUGGAAUAGGACAUCAUAGAGGGUGAGAAUCCCGUAUUUGACCAUUAUUUUCAGCUGUGUGAUACACUUUCAAAGAGUCGGAUUGUUUGGGAAUGCAGUCCAAAAUGGGUGGUAAAUUUCAUCUAAAGCUAAAUAUUGGCGAGAGACCGAUAGCGAACAAGUACCGUGAGGGAAAGAUGAAAAGAACUUUGAAAAGAGAGUUAAACAGUACGUGAAAUUGUCAAAAGGGAAGCGUUUGACACCAGUGUUGUUUUCUCGAAAAUCAAUUAAAAAGAGUUUGAUUUUGUUGUGUAUUGACCUUAACAGCUUGCAUUUCAAUUUUCUUGCUUUUUUUAAUGCACUUUUCGUUUAACAAGUCAACAUCAGUUUCUUUUGUUGUAAAAAGGUCAUUGGAAGGUGGCUUUCUUUUCGGAGAAAGUGUUUAUAGCCUUUGACUCCUGCAAUCGGAGAGACUGAGGUCUGCAGCGUAGAUCCUUCGGGGUUAGAUACAUUUGUGCUAAGUUAUAGCUUUUUAUAGACAACUUGUUGACUAUGAUUAGUCUUGUAGCUUACUCGCUUAUGCUAUUUUACCUACGCUUAGGAUGUUGACACACGCGCGUGCUCG